rnacentral:rRNA from 1 species
AUACGGAGGAUGCAAGCGUUAUCCGGAUUUAUUGGGUUUAAAGGGUGCGUAGGCUGUUUGUCAAGUCAGGGGUGAAAUACCUGAGCCUAACUCAGGAACUGCCUUUGAUACUGGCAGGCUGGAAUACGGAUGCCGUGGGAGGAAUGAGUAGUGUAGCGGUGAAAUGCAUAGAUAUUACUCAGAACACCGAUUGCGAAGGCAUCUCACGAAUCCGUCAUUGACGCUGAGGCACGAAAGCGUGGGGAUCAAACAGGAUUAGAUACCCUGGUAGUCCACGCAGUAAACGAUGAUAACUAACCGUCGGCGAUAGAGUGUCGGUGGCCAAGCGAAAGCGAUAAGUUAUCCACCUGGGGAGUACGUUCGCAAGAAUGAAACUCAAAGGAAUUGACGGGG